AGCAGCCGCGGUAAUUCCAGCUCCAAUAGCGUAUAUUAAAGUUGUUGCAGUUAAAAAGCUCGUAGUUGAAUUUCGGGGUUAGUAGGUUGGUCAUGCCUCCGGUAUGUACUGGUCUCACUGAUUCCUCCUUCCUGACGAACCGUAAUGCCAUUAAUUUGGUGUUGCGGGGAAUUUGGACUGUUACUUUGAAAAAAUUAGAGUGUUUAAAGCAAGCUAACGCUUGAAUACAUCAGCAUGGAAUAAUGAAAUAGGACGUUCGAUCCUAUUUUGUUGGUUUCUAGGAUUGACGUAAUGAUUAAUAGGGAUAGUUGGGGGCAUUAGUAUUCAAUUGUCAGAGGUGAAAUUCUUGGAUUUAUUGAAGACUAACUACUGCGAAAGCAUUUGCCAAGGAUGUUUUCAUUAAUCAAGAACGAAAGUUAGGGGAUCGAAGACGAUCAGAUACCGUCGUAGUCUUAACCAUAAACUAUGCCGACUAGGGAUCGGAUGAUGUUAAUUUUUUAAUGACUCA
rnacentral:rRNA from 1 species